rnacentral:siRNA from 1 species
GCCCGUCUAGCUCAGUUGGUA